UACAGAGGGGGCAAGCGUUGUUCGGAAUUACUGGGCGUAAAGCGCGCGUAGGCGGCUUUGUAAGUUAGAGGUGAAAGCCCGGAGCUCAACUCCGGAACUGCCUUUAAAACUGCAUCGCUUGAAUCCAGGAGAGGUGAGUGGAAUUCCGAGUGUAGAGGUGAAAUUCGUAGAUAUUCGGAAGAACACCAGUGGCGAAGGCGGCUCACUGGACUGAUAUUGACGCUGAGGUGCGAAAGCGUGGGGAGCAAACAGG
rnacentral:rRNA from 1 species